AGAAAAGCAAUUUAGAAGGAGAAUUCAACAGUUCUUGAAGUAUUGGCUUGAGAACAUUUCUCGGCAUCUGAACACGUACUUUGCUGCACACGAAAGUGCUAACGGUUCCAAUGUGAGAAGCUCUGCAAGUAGCUGUUAACACAACUCCCUCUCGUUCGUAAUACGAUAGAAUCUCUUCUAAAUCAUCAACUU
rnacentral:rRNA from 11 species